GCAAGUCGAACGAACUCUGGUAUUGAUUGGUGCUUGCAUCAUGAUUUACAUUUGAGUGAGUGGCGAACUGGUGAGUAACACGUGGGAAACCUGCCCAGAAGCGGGGGAUAACACCUGGAAACAGAUGCUAAUACCGCAUAACAACUUGGACCGCAUGGUCCGAGCUUGAAAGAUGGCUUCGGCUAUCACUUUUGGAUGGUCCCGCGGCGUAUUAGCUAGAUGGUGGGGUAACGGCUCACCAUGGCAAUGAUACGUAGCCGACCUGAGAGGGUAAUCGGCCACAUUGGGACUGAGACACGGCCCAAACUCCUACGGGAGGCAGCAGUAGGGAAUCUUCCACAAUGGACGAAAGUCUGAUGGAGCAACGCCGCGUGAGUGAAGAAGGGUUUCGGCUCGUAAAACUCUGUUGUUAAAGAAGAACAUAUCUGAGAGUAACUGUUCAGGUAUUGACGGUAUUUAACCAGAAAGCCACGGCUAACUACGUGCCAGCAGCCGCGGUAAUACGUAGGUGGCAAGCGUUGUCCGGAUUUAUUGGGCGUAAAGCGAGCGCAGGCGGUUUUUUAAGUCUGAUGUGAAAGCCUUCGGCUCAACCGAAGAAGUGCAUCGGAAACUGGGAAACUUGAGUGCAGAAGAGGACAGUGGAACUCCAUGUGUAGCGGUGAAAUGCGUAGAUAUAUGGAAGAACACCAGUGGCGAAGGCGGCUGUCUGGUCUGUAACUGACGCUGAGGCUCGAAAGUAUGGGUAGCAAACAGGAUUAGAUACCCUGGUAGUCCAUACCGUAAACGAUGAAUGCUAAGUGUUGGAGGGUUUCCGCCCUUCAGUGCUGCAGCUAACGCAUUAAGCAUUCCGCCUGGGGAGUACGGCCGCAAGGCUGAAACUCAAAGGAAUUGACGGGGGCCCGCACAAGCGGUGGAGCAUGUGGUUUAAUUCGAAGCUACGCGAAGAACCUUACCAGGUCUUGACAUACUAUGCAAAUCUAAGAGAUUAGACGUUCCCUUCGGGGACAUGGAUACAGGUGGUGCAUGGUUGUCGUCAGCUCGUGUCGUGAGAUGUUGGGUUAAGUCCCGCAACGAGCGCAACCCUUAUUAUCAGUUGCCAGCAUUAAGUUGGGCACUCUGGUGAGACUGCCGGUGACAAACCGGAGGAAGGUGGGGAUGACGUCAAAUCAUCAUGCCCCUUAUGACCUGGGCUACACACGUGCUACAAUGGAUGGUACAACGAGUUGCGAACUCGCGAGAGUAAGCUAAUCUCUUAAAGCCAUUCUCAGUUCGGAUUGUAGGCUGCAACUCGCCUACAUGAAGUCGGAAUCGCUAGUAAUCGCGGAUCAGCAUGCCGCGGUGAAUACGUUCCCGGGCCUUGUACACACCGCCCGUCACACCAUGAGAGUUUGUAACACCCAAAGUCGGUGGGGUAACCUUUUAGGAACCAGCCG
rnacentral:rRNA from 1 species